rnacentral:tRNA from 1 species
ACUCCCGCUGAAAUUGCGACAAAUGUUACCGCCUUCUAAGCCGAUGGUCGCAGGUUCGAAUCCUGCCGGGAUCGCCA